GGAAGAAUGUCGAGAAGGAGUAGUAGCGUGAUUUGGGAACAAAGAGAGCUGACGGUUGGUGCGAGUCAGUCGAACAAUGAUCGUGAACUUACCUUGGAGUUUUUGAAAUAGGGUAUAUAUAACCGUUUCAACGGGUUACGUCCGUUAUACGUUUUGAGCGAAUGAAUUUAUGUAUUCAUUAAUGUGGGUGGUACCGCGGGAUAAUAACUCUCGUCCCUAAC
rnacentral:ncRNA from 1 species